UCAUCUUCGGGGGUAGAGCACUGUUUCGGCUAGGGGGUCAUCCCGACUUACCAACCCGAUGCAAACUACGAAUACCGAAGAAUGUUAUCACGGGAGACACACGGCGGGUGCUAACGUCCGUCGUGAAGAGGGAAACAACCCAGACCGCCAGCUAAGGUCCCAAAGUCAUGGUUAAGUGGGAAACGAUGUGGGAAGGCACAGACAGCCAGGAUGUUGGCUUAGAAGCAGCCAUCAUUUAAAGAAAGCGUAAUAGCUCACUGGUCGAGUCGGCCUGCGCGGAAGAUGUAACGGGGCUAAACCAUGCACCGAAGCUGCGGCAGCGACACUAUGUGUUGUUGGGUAGGGGAGCGUUCUGUAAGCCUGCGAAGGUGACCUGUGAGGGUUGCUGGAGGUAUCAGAAGUGCGAAUGCUGACAUAAGUAACGAUAAAGCGGGUGAAAAGCCCGCUCGCCGGAAGACCAAGGGUUCCUGUCCAACGUUAAUCGGGGCAGGGUGAGUCGACCCCUAAGGCGAGGCCGAAAGGCGUAGUCGAUGGGAAACAGGUUAAUAUUCCUGUACUUGGUGUUACUGCGAAGGGGGGACGGAGAAGGCUAUGUUAGCCGGGCGACGGUUGUCCCGGUUUAAGCAUGUAGGCUGGUUAUCCAGGCAAAUCCGGAUAAUCAAGGCUGAGGUGUGAUGACGAGGCACUACGGUGCUGAAGUAACAAAUGCCCUGCUUCCAGGAAAAGCCUCUAAGCAUCAGGUAACAUCAAAUCGUACCCCAAACCGACACAGGUGGUCAGGUAGAGAAUACCAAGGCGCUUGAGAGAACUCGGGUGAAGGAACUAGGCAAAAUGGUGCCGUAACUUCGGGAGAAGGCACGCUGGUGUGUAGGUGAAGUCCCUGCGGAUGGAGCUGAGACCAGUCGAAGAUACCAGCUGGCUGCAACUGUUUAUUAAAAACACAGCACUGUGCAAACACGAAAGUGGACGUAUACGGUGUGAC
rnacentral:rRNA from 1 species